CGUCUAUAUACGUAUAGCAUAUCAAUAAGCGGAGGAAAAGAAACUAACUAGGAUUCCCUCAGUAACGGCGAGUGAAGCGGGAAGAGCUCAAAUUUGAAAUCUUCAAGGUUUUACCUUGACGAAUUGUAGUUUAAAGAAGUGUUUUCUGUUGUGAAUUUUGGUAAAAGUUCUUUGGAAAUAGGACAUCAAUAGAGGGUGAGAAUCCCGUAUUUGACCAUUACUUCCAGCGUUGUGAUACACUUUCAAAGAGUCGGAUUGUUUGGGAAUGCAGUCCAAAAUGGGUGGUAAAUUUCAUCUAAAGCUAAAUAUUGGCGAGAGACCGAUAGCGAACAAGUACCGUGAGGGAAAGAUGAAAAGAACUUUGAAAAGAGAGUUAAACAGUACGUGAAAUUGUCAAAAGGGAAGCGUUUGACACCAGUGUUGUUUUCUCGAAAAUCAAUUAAAAAUGGCUGGGAUUUUGUGUUGUAUUGACCUUAUAAGCUUUCUGCACUUUUUUCAUAUCUUUUUUAAUGCACUUUUCGUUUAACAAGUCAACAUCAAUUUCUUUUGUUGUAAAAGGGUCAUUGGAAGGUGGCUUUCUUUUCGGAGAAAGUGUUUAUAGCCUUUGACUCCUGCAAUCGGAGAGACUGAGGUCUGCAGCGUAGAUCCUUUUGGAUUAGAUUCAUUUGUGCUAAGUUAUAGCUUUUUAUAGACAACAUGUUGACUAUAUUUAGUCUUGUAACUUACUCGCUUAUGUAAUUUUACCUACGCUUAGGAUGUUGACGAUCAGCUGAGCGCG
rnacentral:rRNA from 1 species